AUACAAAUCACCUUGGGGUCAUGUUGAAACACAGGUUCUGAUUCAGUGGAUCUAGGGUUGUACCUGAGAUUCUGCAUUUCUAGCUAGAUCCCCAGUCAUGCUAGU
rnacentral:pre_miRNA from 1 species